CGCUGGCGGCGUGCCUAAUACAUGCAAGUCGAGCGGAAUGAUGAAGAAGCUUGCUUCUUCUGAUUUUAGCGGCGGACGGGUGAGUAACACGUGGGCAACCUACCUUGUAGAUUGGGAUAACUCCGGGAAACCGGGGCUAAUACCGAAUAAUCCAUUUUUGCUUCAUGGCGAGAUGUUGAAAGACGGUUUCGGCUGUCACUACAAGAUGGGCCCGCGGCGCAUUAGCUAGUUGGUAGGGUAAUGGCCUACCAAGGCGACGAUGCGUAGCCGACCUGAGAGGGUGAUCGGCCACACUGGGACUGAGACACGGCCCAGACUCCUACGGGAGGCAGCAGUAGGGAAUCUUCCACAAUGGACGAAAGUCUGAUGGAGCAACGCCGCGUGAGUGAAGAAGGUUUUCGGAUCGUAAAACUCUGUUGUAAGGGAAGAACACGUACGAGAGUAACUGCUCGUACCUUGACGGUACCUUAUUAGAAAGCCACGGCUAACUACGUG
rnacentral:rRNA from 1 species